UAAAGAUUCAUCGCUGAUAGAUAGGCAUGCGUUCCAUUAGGCAGUUGGCGGGGUAACGGCCCACCAAACCGACGAUGGAUAGGGGUUCUGAGAGGAAGGUCCCCCACAUUGGUACUGAGACACGGACCAAACUCCUACGGGAGGCAGCAGUGAGGAAUAUUGGUCAAUGGGCGUAAGCCUGAACCAGCCAAGUCGCGUGAGGGAUGAAGGUUCUAUAGAUCGUAAACCUCUUUUAUAAGGGAAUAAAGUGCGGGACGUGUCCCGUUUUGUAUGUACCUUAUGAAUAAGGAUCGGCUAACUCCGUGCCAGCAGCCGCGGUAAUACGGAGGAUCCGAGCGUUAUCCGGAUUUAUUGGGUUUAAAGGGUGCGUAGGCGGCCUUUUAAGUCAGCGGUGAAAGUCUGUGGCUCAACCAUAGAAUUGCCGUUGAAACUGGGAGGCUUGAGUAUGUUUGAGGCAGGCGGAAUGCGUGGUGUAGCGGUGAAAUGCUUAGAUAUCACGCAGAACCCCGAUUGCGAAGGCAGCCUGCCAAGCCAUGACUGACGCUGAUGCACGAAAGCGUGGGGAUCAAACAGGAUUAGAUACCCUGGUAGUCCACGCAGUAAACGAUGAUCACUAGCUGUUUGCGAUACACAGUAA
rnacentral:rRNA from 1 species